UUCAAACCGUGGGACAACCUUUACGACCAUUUUGGUUAAGGGCAAGAGAAAAUUUGACCUGUUGAAGGUUUUCCAAACAAAACGUGCCAACUUCCUACGUUACGGUCUUGGUAAGAAGACACCAACUUUUACUAAAUUUUAUUUACUUUACUUCUCACUGAAAAUACCAAUGAACGAAGAGAACAGACCCAUCCGAAGGAGAGGUUCAUUUGCAGUCAUCUUAGCUGUGGGCAGCACAGUCCCCUAACUGCCGCCUUAGGUGUGACCAACCAGAUUCCCACAAGUCUUGGGAUUUGUGCAUCAAAAUUGAGACCUAUCCUCCCCGUGCUAAAGUCUUCCGUGAAUCCUGCCCAGGGUAAAACCCUCAGUCCCUGCAUUCCAUUUCGAAUGACCCUUCCCAGGGGACCUAUCACAUCCUCCCCAGGACUCCAGUGCAGAUUCUACCCCGGAAAGAAUUCAUAUGAAGACUCUUAAUCAGUUCUGUGGAGAGGCCCACAAGAGGAGAAACUGAGGCCUCCAACAACAUCCAGCACCAACUUGCCAGCAAUGAUUGCAAAUACAGAAAAGCCACUUGAAACACGGCAAGAAGGCGGCUGUCUACAGGCCAGGAAGAGAGCACUCAACAGAUACUAACCCUGGUGGCAUCUUAAUCUUGGAUUUCUGGCCUCUAGAACUGUGAGAAAAUAAA